GACGAACGCUGGCGGCGUGCUUAACACAUGCAAGUCGAACGGAAAGGCCCUGCUUUUGUGGGGUGCUCGAGUGGCGAACGGGUGAGUAACACGUGAGUAACCUGCCCUUGACUUUGGGAUAACUUCAGGAAACUGGGGCUAAUACCGGAUAGGAGCUCCUGCUGCAUGGUGGGGGUUGGAAAGUUUCGGCGGUUGGGGAUGGACUCGCGGCUUAUCAGCUUGUUGGUGGGGUAGUGGCUUACCAAGGCUUUGACGGGUAGCCGGCCUGAGAGGUUGACCGGCCACAUUGGGACCGAGAUACGGCCCAGACUCCUACGGGAGGCAGCAGUGGGGAAUAUUGCACAAUGGGCGGAAGCCUGAUGCAGCAACGCCGCGUGCGGGAUGACGGCCUUCGGGUUGUAAACCGCUUUCGCCUGUGACGAAGCGUGAGUGACGGUAAUGGGUAAAGAAGCACCGGCUAACUACGUG
rnacentral:rRNA from 1 species